CACUACCUUGCCUGUCCCAAACCCUUUCCAGUCCUCCUAUGUCUUAGGAGAGAAUGGAUAGUGUUGGAGACCAUGAAGGAUACACCAUCUUGAAAAAAUCCAUCAGUAUGCGGUUUGAGAUCCUUAAGAAAUCUGGUGUAUGGGAAUAUAGCAGAGAGUCAUUGAAGUCCACCAGCAAGACAAAAGUCAGGAUGAGUGGUGUGGCUUGGGUUGCAUUAGAUGACCUUGGUUCCACAGCCUGUUUCAGCCACCUUGAUGUGUGUAGGAACAAACUGUUCUCAUCCACCCAUUCCAUCAGGGAGAGACCCAGAGAAGGACAGCUGGGAUGCCACCUUAUCUCAUGGUGAACCCCUCAAUCUUUAUAUAGUGAUAGGAAGACCAGAUUUUGAGUCCAAACACCUGCAUGUGAGAUCUUGCUGGAUGUCCACCUGGUAAGACAUUUAGCUUCUCUGA
rnacentral:lncRNA from 1 species